ACUUUAUCUACAUUCAACGUAUGUAAUUGAGUGGCUGUGGUAUGGCACACUGUCAUUUGGCUUCAUUUCAAUCAACUAAGAUAACUCUCUGUAUUUUCUUUCCUAUAACACUGUGUCAUGUUGCUGCAAAAAGCGAAACAGCUGUCACAUUCUCCUUCUUGAGGAUGCAUCCCAGAAUGGGCUGUUUCUUCUGAGAGGACAACAUAGCCUCCAAUUUGGCAGAGUGCAGAUGGCGCUUUACCCAGAAACCACUCCUUGGAAGAGUGAUGCCUUGAGAGGCUACCUAGAACAGAGGCCUGAAAAUGUUAAAGGAAUAAAG